rnacentral:rRNA from 1 species
UUCGGCGACACCGGGGUCAUGGGACCGCGCCAUUCGACGAUGGACGAAGUGCAAUUACCUGGAAAGGUAAGCCGCGGAGGGUGAUAGCCCCGUGCACGACAACCCCAUCUAAGAUAGCGGAAUCCCGAGUAGGGCGGGACACGAGAAAUCCUGCCUGAAUUCGCCAGGACCCCCUGGCAAGGCUAAAUACUCCCGAGAGACCGAUAGUGAACCAGUACCGCGAGGGAAAGGUGAAAAGUACCCCGAGCAGGGGGGUGAAAUAGACCCUGAACCCGCGCGCCUACAAGCGGUCGGAGCCGAGUGAUUCGGUGACGGCGUGCCUUUUGCAUAAUGAGCCUACGAGUUAGUCGUCACCAGCGAGGUUAAGGGCUUCAGGCCCGUUAGCCGAAGUGAAAGCGAGCCUUAACAGGGCGACGAGUUGGUGGCGCUAGACGCGAAACCUUGUGAUCUACCCACGAGCAGGUUGAAGUCGCGGUAACGCGUGAUGGAGGACCGAACCGGUAAACGUUGAAAAGUUUUCGGAUGACUCGCGGGUAGGGGUGAAAGGCCAAUCAAACUGGGAAAUAGCUCGUACUCUCCGAAAUGCAUUUCGGUGCAGCCUGUGAUGUUCUGUUCCAGAGGUAGAGCUACUGGUUGGACGCGAGGGCUUCACCGCCUAUCAAAUCCGGAUAAACUCCGAAUGCUGGAACACGAAAUCAUGGAGUGAGCCCGCGGGUGCUAAGGUCCGCGGACGAGAGGGAAAGAACCCGGACCACCGGCUAAGGUCCCGGAUGGACAGUUAAGUUGAUCAAACGAGGUGGGAUCGCGGAGACAGCUAGGAUGUUGGCUUGGAAGCAGCCAUUCAUUUAAAGAGUGCGUAACAGCUCACUAGUCGAGCGAUCCCGCGUGGAUAAUACACGGGCAUGAAACUGUCAACCGAAGCCGUGGGGUCAGUGUUGAACUGACCGGUAGGAGAGCAUUCCUGCCAGCGUCGAAGGUCACCCGCGAGAGUGACUGGAGCGGCAUGAAAAGCAAAUGUAGGCAUAAGUAACGAUAAUGGGGGCGAGAACCCCCCACGCCGCAAGACCAAGGAUUCCCCGGCAAUGUCAAUCAGCCGGGGGUCAGCCGGCCUCUAAGGCUAACCCGAAUGGGGACGCCGACGAGAAACGGGUUAACAUUCCCGUGCUUCUCGUCACCGUGACGCGGUGACGGGGUGAUGAAUGGACCGCGCGCUGACGGAAUAGCGCGUUGAAGGCCGUACCCUUUGACGGUGGUAGUCAAGCACGCCACCGGAGGCGAAAGUCGAUAGUACCUCGAGGCCUCGGCCGAGGGGAUAGCGUCCAGGCAAUUUACCCCCGAGAAAACCCGCUAAACUUCAAGUGACGAGGAACCGUACUGUAAACGGACACACGUGGUCGGGUAGAACAUACCAAGGCGCUCGAGUGAUUCAUGGUCAAGGAACUAGGCAAAAUAGUCCUGUAACCUCGGGAAAAAGGACGCUCUAGUGAUAGAGCCGCAGAGUAAUGGCCCAGGCGACUGUUUACCAAAAACACAUGGCUAUGCCAAAUCGAAAGAUGACGUAUAUGGCCUGACACCUGCCCGGUGCCGGAAGGUUAAGAGGAGAGCUCAUCAGCGAUGAGAAGGUUCGAAUUGAAGCCCCGGUAAACGGCGGCCGUAACUAUAACGGUCCUAAGGUAGCGAAAUUCCUUGUCGGGUAAGUUCCGACCUGCACGAAUGGUGUAACGAUCUGGGCACUGUCUCGACCAUGAGCUCGGUGAAAUUGUAGUUCCGGUGAAGAUGCCGGGUACCCGCGACGGGACGGAAAGACCCCGUGAACCUUUACUGCAGCUUCGCGUUGUUCCCGGGCACGGGACGUGUAGGAUAGGUCGGAGGCAAUGAAGCGGUUUCGCCAGGAAUCGUGGAGCCAUCGUUGAAAUACGACCCUUCUCUUGUCUGGGAUCUAACCCGUUUAACGGGGACACCGCGUGGUGGGUAGUUUGACUGGGGUGGUCGCCUCCAAAAGCGUAACGGAGGCUUCCAAAGGUACCCUCGGGUUGGUUGGUAAUCAACCUAGGAGUGCAAUGGCACAAGGGUGCUUGACCGGGAGACUCACAAGUCGAUCGGGUGCGAAAGCAGGGCAUAGUGAUCCGGUGAUCCCGCGUGGAAGGGUCAUCGCUCAAAGGAUAAAAGGUACUCCGGGGAUAACAGGCU